rnacentral:rRNA from 1 species
UUAAGCAUAUCAAUAAGCGGAGGAAAAGAAACCAACAGGGAUUGCCCUAGUAACGGCGAGUGAACAGGCAAGAGCUCAGAUUUGAAAGCCUUUUUGGCAUUGUAUUCUGAAGUCAGUUUCCUGAGUAUCGGUGUUUAAGUCUUCUGGAAAGGAGCGCCAUGGAGGGUGAUAGCCCCGUACGACACCUCACUCAUUGUAGGAUUCUGACGUGGAGUCGAGUUGUUUGGGAAUGCAGCUCAAAAGGGUGGUAUGCUCCAUCUAAAGCUAAAUAUCUGUGAGAGACCGAUAGCGAACAAGUACUGUGAAGGAAAGAUGAAAAGAACUUUGAAAAGAGAGUGAAAAAGUACGUGAAAUUGUUGAAAUGGAAGGAUAUGCCGCUAACAAUGUAGAGCCGUGUUUGGGGGGAAGACAAAAGCUGAAGAAUGUAUCUCUUUUAGGGAAUUAUAACUUCAGUCAAUAUUCCCAUCCGGGCGCGAGGACCUCAGGCUCUACUAAAUGGUGGUCUAUCACCCGUCUUGAAACACGGACCAAGGAGUCUAUUGCCUGCGCGAGUAUUUGGGUGGCAAACCCAUAUGCGAAGUGAAAGCGAGUGGUUCCAACCUUCGGGGGCAGAAUCAGCCGACCGUUCAUAGGAACGGAUUGAGUGGAGCGCAAGUGAUGGGACCCGAAAGAUGGUGAACUAUGCCUGAAUAGGGUGAAGCCAGAGGAAACUCUGGUGGAGGCUCGCAGCGGUUCUGACGUGCAAAUCGAUCGUCAAAUUUGGGUAUAGGGGCGAAAGACUAAUCGAACCAUCUAGUAGCUGGUUCCUGCCGAAGU